rnacentral:rRNA from 1 species
GAUGAACGCUGGCGGCGUGCCUAAUACAUGCAAGUAGAACGCUGAAGGAAGGAGCUUGCUCUUUCCGGAUGAGUUGCGAACGGGUGAGUAACGCGUAGGUAACCUGCCUGGUAGCGGGGGAUAACUAUUGGAAACGAUAGCUAAUACCGCAUAACAGUAGAUGUUGCAUGAUAUCUACUUAAAAGGUGCAAUUGCACCACUACCAGAUGGACCUGCGUUGUAUUAGCUAGUUGGUGAGGUAACGGCUCACCAAGGCGACGAUACAUAGCCGACCUGAGAGGGUGAUCGGCCACACUGGGACUGAGACACGGCCCAGACUCCUACGGGAGGCAGCAGUAGGGAAUCUUCGGCAAUGGACGGAAGUCUGACCGAGCAACGCCGCGUGAGUGAAGAAGGUUUUCGGAUCGUAAAGCUCUGUUGUAGGAGAAGAACGAGUGUGAGAGUGGAAAGUUCACACUGUGACGGUAUCUUACCAGAAAGGGACGGCUAACUACGUG